rnacentral:rRNA from 1 species
ACCUACCUUUAACUGGGGCAUAGCUCGAGGAAACUCGAAUUAAUUCCCCAUAGUACAUUAUAAUAUCUCAUGAUAUAAAUGUUAAAGAUUUAUCGGUUAAAGAUGGGCAUGCGUCUGAUUAGUUUGUUGGUAAGGUAACGGCUUACCAAGACUACGAUCAGUAGGGGGUCUGAGAGGAUGAUCCCCCACACUGGUACUGAGACACGGACCAGACAUCUACGGAUGGCAGCAGUAAGGAAUAUUGGGCAAUGGGCGCAAGCCUGACCCAGCCAUGCCGCGUGCAGGAUGACGACCCUAUGGGUUGUAAACUGCUUUUAUAUAGGAAGAAAAUACUCUUGCGAGAGGAUCUGACGGUACUAUAUGAAUAAGGACCGGCUAACUCCGUGCCAGCAGCCGCGGUAAUACGGAGGGUUCAAGCGUUUUCCGGAUUUAUUGGGUUUAAAGAGUGCGUAGGUGGUUUAUUAAGUCAGUGGUGAAAUCCUGCAGCUCAACUGUAGAACUGCCAUUGAUACUGGUAAACUUGAGUUUGGUUUACGUAAGCGGAAUUUAUGAUGUAGCGGUGAAAUGCAU